rnacentral:rRNA from 1 species
AUCGAUGAAGAACGCAGCGAAAUGCGAUAAGUAAUGUGAAUUGCAGAAUUCAGUGAAUCAUCGAAUCUUUGAACGCACAUUGCGCCCCUUGGUAUUCCGAGGGGCAUGCCUGUUCGAGCGUCAUUACACCACUCAAGCACCGCUUGGUAUUGGGCAUCGUCCGUCGAAAGGCGGGCGUGCCUCGAAGACCUCGGCGGGGUUUCUCCAACUUCGGGCGUAGUAGAGUUAAAUCAAAACGUCUUAUAAGCUUGGUGAGAUCUCAUUGCCGUUAAACCUUUUAUUUUUCAGGUUGACCUCGGAUCAGGUAGGGAUACCCGCUGAACUUAAGCAUAUCAAUAAGCGGAGGAAAAGAAACCAACAGGGAUUGCCCUAGUAACGGCGAGUGAAGCGGCAAUAGCUCAAAUUUGAAAGCUGGCCUUCUGGUCCGCAUUGUAAUUUGUAGAGGAUGCUUUUAGGCAGCCGCCGGUCUAAGUUCCUUGGAACAGGACGUCAUAGAGGGUGAGAAUCCCGUAUGUGACCGGCUCUGGCACCUUCUGUAAAGCUCCUUCGACGAGUCGAGUUGUUUGGGAAUGCAGCUCUAAAUGGGAGGUAAAUUUCUUCUAAAGCUAAAUACUGGCGAGAGACCGAUAGCGCACAAGUAGAGUGAUCGAAAGAUGAAAAGCACUUUGGAAAGAGAGUUAAAAAGCACGUGAAAUUGUUGAAAGGGAAGCGCUUGCAAUCAGACUUGGCUUCGGUUGUUCAACAGGUCUUCUGACCUGCCUACUCAAUCGUUGCCAGGCCAGCAUCAGUUUCGGCGGCCGGAUAAAGGCCCUGGGAAUGUGGCCGUCUCUUCGGAGACGGUGUUAUAGCCCAGGGUGUAAUACGGCCAGCUGGGACUGAGGUCCGCGCUUCGGCUAGGAUGCUGGCGUAAUGGUUGUAAGCGGCCCGUCUUGAAACACGG